rnacentral:rRNA from 1 species
AGAGCGAACGCUGGCGGCAGGCCUAAUACAUGCAAGUCGAGCGGCCACUUCGGUGGCAGCGGCGGACGGGUGAGUAACGCGUGGGAAUGUGCCCUUUGGUACGGAACAACUGAGGGAAACUUCAGCUAAUACCGUAUGUGCCCUUCGGGGGAAAGAUUUAUUGCCAUUGGAGCAGCCCGCGUUGGAUUAGCUAGUUGGUGGGGUAAAGCCCACAAGGCGACGAUCCAUAGCUGGUCUGAGAGGAUGAUCAGCCACACUGGGACUGAGACACGGCCCAGACUCUACGGGAGGCAGCAGUAGGGAAUCUGCGCAAUGGGCGAAAGCCUGACGCAGCCAUGCCGCGUGAAUGAUGAAGGUCUUAGGAUUGUAAAAUUCUUUCACCGGGGAAGAUAAUGACGGUACCCGGAGAAGAAGCCCCGGCUAACGUUCGUGCCAGCAGCCGC